rnacentral:lncRNA from 13 species
AUGCGCUGCACAAGGUGGGCCAGAUCGUGUUUGAGUUCGUGGGCGAACCUGAGCUCAUGGAUGUGCAUGUCUUUUGCACAGACAGCAUCCAGGGGACCCCUGUGGAGAGCCUCAUGGGGCCUGCUCCCCACUCCCCACCAUGCACGUUCCAUCUCCUGGCUGGGAGAAAGACCAUCAGCGCAAACCAGCUCUGAGUGCCAGAAAUGUGCCCACACUGGUUCCAGCUGGACCAGAUCCCCUUCAAGGACAUGUGGCCAGAUGACAGCUACUGGUUUCAAUUCCUACUUCAGAAGAAAAAGUCCACGGGUACUUCAAGUUCCAGGGUCAAGACACCAUCCUGGACUACACACUCCGAGGGGUGGAUGCGGUCUAGCGGGAGCCUGGGGAGCCCCUGGGCAGGAAACUUGGCUGCUGAACAGCUGCAAACCGUCUGUUCACCUGGGCGCAAGUGGAUCAGAGCUGGGUUUUGUCUGUAGUGUGAUUGUACAGAAAGGAAAAUAAAGGUCUUCAACCUUUGUUUUUUGGAGAUGGGAGUCUCGUUUUAUUGCCUCUUUUGCCCAGGCUGGAGUGCAGUGAUGUGAUCUCAGCUCAUUUCAACCUCCACCUCCCAGGUUCAAGCGAUCCUCCCAUCCAUCUCGGCCUCUCAAGUAGGUGGGAUUACAGGUGCACACUGCCACGCCCGACUAGUACUUGUAUUUUUAGUAGAUACAGGGUUUCACCAUGUUGACCUGGCUGGUCUUGAACUCCUGACCUCACGUGAUCCGCCUGCCUCAGCCUCCCAAAGUGCUGGGAUUACAGGAAUGAGCCACCACGCCCAGCUGGUCUCUUUUUAAACUUCCUUCUCCAGACACCAGCACAGCCUGCCAAGUCCUGUCCACAGGAAGCUGCCAGAUGUGCUGGGCUGCGACCCGUGCUGCACAGAGGUGGGAGAGGAUGGAGACUGUCCCAGAGGUGGGCAGCUGGCGGAGGGCAGGACACAUGCUCAGUGCCACUAGCUGGAGGUGUCAUCUCAAAACCCCCCUGCAGUGUGGGAAACUGAGGCUAAAGCCCAUAGGCUUGUCCCCCUCCGCUGCCCAACUUUCAUACACAUUUAAUAAAAGUUGUUCACACAGUUAUCCA